GUGAGAGUUUAAUGAGAUGGUUUGGCAUGUCUAUCAUAAACCAAUACUGUAAUUAUAUCCCUGUAGAUCAUUUUGAGGUCACAAAAGGGAGGAAUAAAAGGGAUAGACCUAGGAUCACUUAGGGUGCAGUAAUGGAUAAUUAUUUAGCAGCCCUAAACAUAAUGGAAUAAAGGAAAUGGAUCAACAAAGCUGAAUCCAGCUUAGUUGAGUAGGAUAGUUUUU
rnacentral:misc_RNA from 1 species